UUACUGCGGCUGCUAGAAAACUGCUCACACAUGAGCCUUGUGUGCUAUUUCUUCCCGUCAGUGCCAUCGAGAGCAACGCUGGGCGUUCAGCGGGCACGAUGCCAACGUCCGCUCUUAUUAUUAUUAGUUUUUGGGUUUGAGUCCUGGAUUUACAGCGUUCGCCAUUUGAGCCAACCCGUCUUCCCCACAUCUUGGAAGAUGUUUCGUAUCGGCAGGAAACUGCAGGUGGAAGGAACCUCGGAUCCCAUAAAAGUGAGGUGGUAAAGCACAGAGGAGUGAAGAGACCUGCCCCAAGUCACACAGCUGGGCCAGGCAUGGGCAGCCUGGGCCUGUGCCCUCGUCCCCGCGUGCACACACUCAUUCAUGCUCCACGCGUGCACACACUGCCUGUUCAUCACAGGGCUCAGAAUCCUCCAGAGGGGCUCCCGGCAGCCUCUGGGCCAGGAUGGCUUGCACACUCUGGGAGGCGGAAGGGACGCCUUCGCUGCACCACCUGGCAGACAGGCCCGGGUGGGCAGGGGGGUCGCCCAAGGUCCCUGUGAGCUGAUGGCUUCAUCAACGGGUCCAAGAAUCUGGAAGG
rnacentral:lncRNA from 1 species